GUAGGUGGCAAGCGUUGUCCGGGAAUUAUUGGGCGUAAAGCGCGCGCAGGCGGUUCUUUAAGUCUGAUCGUGAAAGCCCACGGGCUCAACCGUGGAGGGUCAUUGGAAACUGGAGAACUUGAGUACAGAAGAGGAAAGCGGAACUCCACGUGUAGCGGUGAAAUGCGUAGAGAUGUGGAGGAACACCAGUGGCGAAGGCGGCUUUCUGGUCUGUAACUGACGCUGAGGCGCGAAAGCGCGGGGAGCAAACAGGAUUAGAUACCCUGGUAGUCCACGCCGUAAACGAUGAGUGCUAAGUGUUAGGGGGUUUCCGCCCCUUAGUGCUGCAGCUAACGCAUUAAGCACUCCGCCUGGGGAGUACGGCCGCAAAGGCUG
rnacentral:rRNA from 1 species